UCAUUAUCAGAUAAACAAAUAAGUAAUAACUUCCUUACUUAUUGGGUUUAUCUCCUAGUUACUGAGUGGACGGCGUUAUAUUCACCAUGAUGAGAGACAAUCAGUUGGAAGGGCUUCCUCUAUCUUUGGAUAUCAUACACGAAGCUCACUAAACAGGUUAAGAGAUGAUCGAUGUAAGAGAUUAGCACCAGUGGACAUCCUUACGUGGCCUCCUAGUCCAGAAAUGGGUCGUUCAAGUUCUGUUUACAGUAUUGCAUCAACAUUUAUAUCUAAGAAAGGUUCCAGGAAUCGAAAUCCUCACUUUGUGGCUCUUCCGCCUCAACUGGACUCCAACAUGGGGUUAUUAGUGCCACUAGAUGAACGCUGUAAGAGAACCAAAAAAGCCUGCGGCUUAAGAUCUGUGAAUAAAUUACCUGUUUAUGCCGAAAAGAUGAGACCAUGCAGUGAAAUACUUGACAAUACCUCACCUAUUAUAGUCAUGAUUGGGGGAUUAAAUCCACGUGACCCACUGAACUACCCAAU